rnacentral:rRNA from 1 species
AACGAACGCUGGCGGCAGGCUUAACACAUGCAAGUUGAACGGGAUUUGCGGAGUGCUUGCACUAUGCAAAGAGAGUAGCGCACUGGUGAGUAACACGUGGGAACAUACAAUAGACUGGGGGUUAACGUCGGGAAACUAGCGAUAAUACCGCAUACGCCCUGAGGGGGAAAGAUUUAUUGGUCUAUGAUUGGACCGCGCAACAUUAGGUAGUUGGUUAGGUAACGGCUAACCAAGCCUACGAUGUUUAGCUGGUCUGAGAGGACGAUCAGCCACACUGGAACUGAGACACGGUCCAGACUCCUACGGGAGGCAGCAGUGGGGAAUUUUGGACAAUGGGCGAAAGCCUGAUCCAGCAAUGCCGCGUGCAGGAUGAAGGCCUUCGGGUUGUAAACUGCUUUUGUACGGAACGAAACGGUGAGCUCUAAUACAGUUUGCUAAUGACGGUACCGUAAGAAUAAGCACCGGCUAACUACGUGCCAGCCGCCGCAGUAA